CCAGAACACCAGGGUUGAGCUCUUUCCUUUCUCUCUCUAGGGUUUUUGAGAUUUGAGAAGUGAAAAGUGUGGAUUUGAGUCCAAUUUCUCUUCUCUUUUGUAGCUAGUGGCUUUGGAGGGCUUGGGGGCUGUUAUAUGCAGUUGGAGAGACAAAGUUGGAAGUGUUCUUGCAGCCCAAACUCAGUAAACAACUGAGUUGCAUCUUGGUAAGGUUUGGGGAAAGGUUUCAGCGGUUUUAGGGGAGGUAAUUGCCGUGAUUCUUCAAUCUUUAAACCAGGGGGAAGCUGGAGAAAGCUUGAAGAAGGUAAUUAGUUAAUUAAUUGCUUUAUGUUGAAGCUAUACUAGGUUGUUAGUGAUGAAUUGAUGCAGUUUCGGGAAUAUGUUUUCAGCAGCUAUGAUGGUCACUUUAAGCUGAAUAUAGUGGCCAUUGAGAGCUGGUUUUGGGUGCUCUAACCUAACUGGAAGUGGAGGUUUAGCUCUGGUUUGAACAUAGGGAGUUCGACUGCUUUAAGUUGAGGUUAGCAAUCUUUGAGAGGUUAGAAUUGGUGUAUUCUAACCUGAUUUCAGUGGAGUUCAAGAUUGGAUUUCAUAUUAGGGUGCUUGGCGAUCAGCAAACUUUCGCUAACGUGAUUGCUAAGACUCAUCGACUGAUUGGAGCCAUCCACUACGGGAGAAGCUAGGGAUAGCGGCAAGGGAGUCAUGUCUAGCUAGGCGUAGUUUGGAGUCCUGCUAGGUGAUCACGUCGCUACUUUGAGAUUUGUCGACGAGGGUGACGUUGUACCUGUAUAGAGAGACUACCACUUGUAUAUAGAGUGAUUUAGUGAUUUUGAGUUGUACCUAUGUGGCUAGAGCAUUGUACUUUACAGUUUUAUGCUCCUACUUUUUGUUGUAUGUAGUGGAGUUUUGUACUACUUAUUCUCUAGUUGCUAGUACUUUCUGUACGUUCUAUGCUUUGAUAUUAUGUUAGGUUCUU